UGUAUCCAUCACUUUCAACUUGGGCACCUCCACUGCCUUAACUCCUGCUUCUUUUCCCCUUCCCUACCCUGCCCACUUGAUCAUGUCUCUGCUUCCCUUUCUCCUCAUCCUGCUUUCUCAACACCUCCUUUCCUUUGCCUAAUAAAUCUCCUGUUUGCUUUCUCAUAGAAUCAUAGAGUUGCACGGGAUCCCCAAGGAUCAUCUAUUCCAACCUGCUGCAAUGCAGGAAUCUCAGCUACACCAUCCAUGACAGGUGGUCAUCCAGCCUCUACUUAUAAAUCUCCAAGGAAGGAGAGUCCACAACCUGCCAAGGGUGACCGUUCCACUGUCAAAAAGCUCUUACUGUCAGAAGGAUCUUCCUGAUGUUUAGUUGGAAUCACCUUCUGGAAAAAUUGGUUCGAGUCCUAUCCUCCGGAGCAGGAGAAAACAAUCUCGCCCCAUUUUCCAUGUGACAGCUCUUCAGAUAUUUGAAGGUCCAAUAUACCUGAAGGAGCAUCUCCACCCCCAUCGUUCUGCCUGGACACUGAGGUCCAAUGCCAAGGGCCUUCUGGCGGUUCCCUAGCUACGAGAAGCCAAGUUACAGGGAACCAGGCAGAGGGCCUUCUCAGUAGUGGCACCCGCCCUGUGGAAUGCCCUCCUGCCAGAUGUCAAAGAGAAAAACAACUAGCAGACUUUUAGAAGACAUCUGAAGGCAGCCCUGUUUAGGGAAGCUUUUAAUGUUUAAUAGACUAUUGUAUUUUAAUAUUCUGUUGGAAGCCACCCAGAGUGGCUGGGGAAAGCCAGACAGAUGGGUGGGG
rnacentral:lncRNA from 1 species